UACGAAGGGGGCUAGCGUUGUUCGGAAUUACUGGGCGUAAAGGGCGUGCAGGCGGUCUGUUAAGUCUAGGGUGAAAGCUCCCGGCUCAACUGGGAGAGGUCCUUGGAUACUGGCGGACUUGAGGGAGGCAGAGGAAAGUGGAAUUCCCGGUGUAGUGGUGAUAUGCGUAGAUAUCGGGAGGAACACCAGUGGCGAAGGCGGCUCACUGGUCCGGUACUGACGCUGAGGUGCGAAAGCGUGGGGAG
rnacentral:rRNA from 1 species